rnacentral:rRNA from 1 species
UACGUAGGGGGCAAGCGUUGUCCGGAAUCAUUGGGCGUAAAGAGCGUGUAGGCGGCCCGAUAAGUCCGCUGUGAAAGUCCAGGGCUCAACCCUGGGAUGCCGGUGGAUACUGUCGGGCUCGAGUCCGGAAGAGGAGUGUGGAAUUCCACGUGUAGCGGUGAAAUGCGUAGAGAUGUGGAGGAACACCAGUGGCGAAGGCGACUUUCUGGCCUAUAACUGACGCUGAGGCGCGAAAGCGUGGGGAGCAAACAGG